AGUGGGGAAAACUCUUCCAGUUUCAAAUUGACUUUCUCAGCUCCCCAUUGAGUACCUGGGAUUUCCUGAGUAUUUCUUCAGAUGUUAAUCCUACUCAGGUCUUGUAGCUGUUGGCUGUUUGUUCCUAUCCACUUACCUUUUGGAGAUCAGGGAGGUGCUUUGUCAGUUUGUGGAGACUUUCUAGGACGUUUCCCAGCACCUGUGGAUUGGCUGCCAUUCCUGCUGGGUUUCCUCCUCUCCCUGGAAGCAACCAGACAUGCAGUGCCAGGCUACGUGCCCUGUGAUGCUAUGUGCCAGUGGAGGCCAGGACUGAGUUGGGAAGGAGGUGCUCUGGUCUAUUUUUCUGCCAAGUUGGGUGUGACGGAUGGAACCCGUGGAAUAUGCUCAGGCCUGAGCCCCUCCAAGGUUAUCAGUGGGGUCUGCUCUCCCCAGGGGCUGUCUCUCUGGGCCUCUCCUAGGAGCACCCCCUCCCAGAAGCCAGGCUGACCCAUGGCAUGGGCACCACCAAGCACCAAUGCUCCUUUUCAGCUCUCAGCGGGGGUGGGGGUAAAGCAGCUUUACCCAAGAUGAAAAGACACUAUUAUUAGUUUUUAAAUGAAAAAGUAAGGUGUAUUCAUUAUUUUUUUAAAAUCAAGCAUAAAAAUAAAAGUAGAAAGAAGAAAUGAAGACAUCACCUAUUAUCUCCCUCUUUCCAUAACUUUCUAGAGGAAAUGUAUGUAUUUUUCUACACAAAUAUGCACAAUAAGUUGAACAUAUUUUCCUUUUAUAAGAAUGGGGUGAAAUCAACCUUUGCCAACUGAUUUUCUUACUUAGUCAUAUAUCAUAACAAUUUUCCAGAGCCAUAAUUAUAGAUUUAUGUAGUCAUUUUAAUAGUUGCAUAUAACUGCAUAUAGAAGAAUCAUAAUUUAACCUAGGGGUCAGUAAACUUUCUGGAAAGGACUGGACAAUACAUAUUUUUGGUCUUGUAGACCAGAUGGGCUCUGUUGCAACUACUCAAGUCUGCAAUUAGGGGUCUCAAGUGGUCAAAGAUAAUAUGUAAAAUUUAUAAAUGAAAUGGC
ensembl:lncRNA